AGUGCCCGGCAACGCCAGGAUACUCAAACCAGGUGGUGCCAGUUGCAGCAACACUUGGGACACUACUCGUCUUGGCUCUCAUCGCUCUGCUGACAGCCAUCAUUUACAACAGAAGACUGAGGGUUCAACUGGAUGCGUCAGAAAAGAAACACGAAGAUAACUACUUGUCUUUAGACGAGAGGACCAAGGAUCCAGUUGUGGAGAACACAUAUGAGCACAUCGACAAUACCACCGAAUAAGUGCAUAAAGCGUCCUGUCGUGAUGUAUAUGGAUAUAAAGUAGUCUUUUGUAUUAGUAGUAAAUUGUUCUUAGUGUGGACAAACGUAGUUUCUCAUUUCAGGUCACUUAUCAGAGUACAACUCGAGCAAGUCGUGUUCUGGCUUAAAUAUCGACAAUGUAACGAUUAUGAAAAUGGUUAAUCAGCGUUUAUCUUUUAUCAACUGCAAGCAUCAAAAGCAGUGUUUAUUGAACUCAGCACUCUCGAAUAUAGCUCAUGUUAUGUGAUUCAGUGCAUGACCUUUUGUAAGUAUGUUGUAUUAUUUUGAAUAUUUCUCUAUGAAUAAAUGUUUGCGGUUGA